CACGUAGGGCGCGAGCGUUGUCCGGAAUUAUUGGGCGUAAAGAGCUCGUAGGCGGCCUGUUGCGUCCGCUGUGAAAGCCCGGGGCUUAACCCCGGGUCUGCAGUGGAUACGGGCAGGCUAGAGGUAGGUAGGGGAGAAUGGAAUUCCCGGUGUAGCGGUGAAAUGCGCAGAUAUCGGGAGGAACACCGGUGGCGAAGGCGGUUCUCUGGGCCGUAACUGACGCUGAGGAGCGAAAGCAUGGGGAGCGAACAGG
rnacentral:rRNA from 1 species